rnacentral:rRNA from 1 species
GACGAACGCUGGCGGCGUGCCUAAUACAUGCAAGUAGAACGCACAGUUUAUACCGUAGCUUGCUACACCAUAGACUGUGAGUUGCGAACGGGUGAGUAACGCGUAGGUAACCUGCCUGGUAGCGGGGGAUAACUAUUGGAAACGAUAGCUAAUACCGCAUAAUAUUAAUUAUUGCAUGAUAAUUAAUUGAAAGGUGCAAUUGCACCACUACCAGAUGGACCUGCGUUGUAUUAGCUAGUAGGUGAGGUAACGGCUCACCUAGGCGACGAUACAUAGCCGACCUGAGAGGGUGAUCGGCCACACUGGGACUGAGACACGGCCCAGACUCCUACGGGAGGCAGCAGUAGAGAAUCUUCGGCAAUGGACGAAAGUCUGACCGAGCAACGCCGCGUGAGUGAAGAAGGUUUUCGGAUCGGAAAGCUCUGUUGUAAGAGAAGAACGGGUGUGAGAGUGGAAAGGUCACACUGUGACGGUAUCGUACCAGAAAGGGACGGCUAACUACGU